GAAUCUCUUCUGGAGGUCCUCUCCACUGGAGUUUACCGUGUGAGCCCAGGAUAGGUGAAACUAAACCAGAACCUGGGUUCCAAAUGUCCCUCAGCUGCAUACAGGUGUCUGCUUCAUGGAACAAGACAGGAACUGUUCUGAAGUGAAGGUAAUAAAAACUGGGGUGAAGAAGGAAGAGGAGACCAAUUGAAGAAAUGGCAUUUGUCUUCCCAAGAAACCAUUAUGUGCGGUGAACCCUGCUUGGAAGUGGCUGAACAUCUGGCUGAUGAGGGAAGUAGUGAAUUAAUUCUGUGUUUUGCUUUGCUUGAUUUUUGCUUUACUUAGCAAACAGCCUUUAUCUCCCAUGUACUCUUACAUUUUACAUUUACAUUUUAUGCUUUUCUCUCAUAUCCCACUGGGGGAGAAUGAGUGAGCAGCUGUGUGGUGCUGAGCUGCCUGCUGUGGUUAAAUCACAACACAUGCUUUUCUUUCUUAGGCAGAGGACAGGCCAGAGGUAUCAGAUGUACACAGAGGCAUGGAGAAGAAGUCCAUUUUGAUGCACUUGGCAGUGUCUGUUGACUACUGGGGCGAAUCUACAGUCUUCCUGAUUUUUUCCAGCCUACUCCAAGGUAUAUGAAAUGAAAUGUUGGGAAGGAGCUCUUGAGACAUCCCAGUUCAUGCAUGAGGAACUAAAAACUAUGGACAAAAGCAUGUCGUUCAGAGAUGUGUGUAAAAAAAGAGGCUCCUUAAAUAAGACCUCAGAUGACACCAGAGUGGCUGCAUAA